rnacentral:miRNA from 1 species
GCUUUGGGUUAGAAAUAUGCGGG